GGGUGUGUGGUGUAGUGGUAUCACUCAUGCUUUGCAGACAUGAUCGAUCUCUGAGAUUCACCCUCAACUUCCUUGUAUGCGGUCCAGGGUUCAAACCCCUGCGCGUCCA